ensembl:misc_RNA Metazoa_SRP Metazoan signal recognition particle RNA
GCCGGGUGUGGUGGCGUGCGCCUGUAAUCCCAGCUACUUGGGAGGCUGAGGCAGGAGAAUCAUGUUAACCCAGGAGGCGGAGAUUGCAGUGAGCUGAGAUCAUGCCAUUGCAGUCCAGCCUGGGUGACAGUGCGAGACUCUGUCUCAA